rnacentral:rRNA from 1 species
GACGAACGCUGGCGGCGUGCCUAAUACAUGCAAGUCGAGCGGAAGUUGCAGAGCUUGCUCUUCAACUUUAGCGGCGGACGGGUGAGUAACACGUGGGCAACCUGCCCUGCAGAUCGGGAUAACUCCGGGAAACCGGUGCUAAUACCGAAUAGUUUUCGCCACCUCCUGGUGGCGUACGGAAAGACGGUUUAGGCUGUCACUGCAGGAUGGGCCCGCGGCGCAUUAGCUAGUUGGUGGGGUAACGGCCCACCAAGGCGACGAUGCGUAGCCGACCUGAGAGGGUGAUCGGCCACACUGGGACUGAGACACGGCCCAGACUCCUACGGGAGGCAGCAGUAGGGAAUCUUCCGCAAUGGACGAAAGUCUGACGGAGCAACGCCGCGUGAGUGACGAAGGUUUUCGGAUCGUAAAACUCUGUUGUGAGGGAAGAACAAGUACCAAUUAACUACUGGUACCUUGACGGUACCUCACCAGAAAGCCACGGCUAACUACGUGCCAGCAGCCGCGGUAAUAC